CUCUGACAACAUUGCUGGGCCAGGAUGUCUGAUGAGAGACAUAAAGAUUGGGCCCAUGUUGGCGGCACCAUCACUGUCAUUUCAGAGUCCAUUUUCCUGGUUAACCAAAUGGAGUUUCACUUUUGUUGCCCAGGCUGGAGUGCAAUGACAUGAUCUCGGCUCACCACAACCUCCACCUCCCGGGUUCAGGGGAUUUUCCUGCCUCAGCCUCCCGAGUAGCUGGGAUUGCAGGCAUGGGUGAUGGUGCAUACCUGUAGUCCAAGCUAUUCUGAAUGCUGAGACGGGAGGAUCACUUGAGCCCAGGAGUUCAAGGCUGCCAUGACUAUGAUGGAGCCACUGCACUCCAGCCUGGGUAGAAGAGCAAG